CCUACGGAUGGCAGCAGUGGGGAAUAUUGGACAAUGGGGGCAACCCUGAUCCAGCCAUGCCGCGUGUGUGAAGAAGGCCCUCGGGUUGUAAAGCACUUUCAGUGAGGAAGAACGCCUGGUGGUUAAUACCCAUCAGGAAAGACAUCACUCACAGAAGAAGCACCGGCUAACUCCGUGCCAGCAGCCGCGGUAAUACGGAGGGUGCGAGCGUUAAUCGGAAUUACUGGGCGUAAAGCGCGCGUAGGUGGCUUGAUAAGCCGGUUGUGAAAGCCCCGGGCUCAACCUGGGAACGGCAUCCGGAACUGUCAAGCUAGAGUGCAGGAGAGGAAGGUAGAAUUCCCGGUGUAGCGGUGAAAUGCGUAGAGAUCGGGAGGAAUACCAGUGGCGAAGGCGGCCUUCUGGACUGACACUGACACUGAGGUGCGAAAGCGUGGGUAGCAAACAGGAUUAGAUACCCUGGUAGUC
rnacentral:rRNA from 1 species